UACGGAGGGGGCUAGCGUUGUUCGGAAUUACUGGGCGUAAAGCGCGCGUAGGCGGCUUAGCAAGUUAGAGGUGAAAGCCCGAAGCUCAACUUCGGAAUUGCCUUUAAAACUGCAAAGCUAGAAUCAUGGAGAGGUGAGUGGAAUUCCGAGUGUAGAGGUGAAAUUCGUAGAUAUUCGGAAGAACACCAGUGGCAGAAGGCGACUCACUGGACAUGUAUUACGCUGAGGUGCGAAAGCGUGGGGAGCAAACAGGG
rnacentral:rRNA from 1 species